rnacentral:lncRNA from 1 species
UGACGUCACGAGGGUGAUGCUCGUGGGUGGUUUGGAGGUUUUAUCAAUGAAAGAGUGAUAUUUAUGUUUGAACUUAUCUUGCAAAAUCGAUCACAAGAUGAUUCCAGCUGAACAAUACACAUUUCAAGUUACAGUUUAGAUAACUUUUACAAUUUAAUUUCCGACUAUGCUGACGUCACAUGGUUGUUUUAUUAGUCAACCUCACUAGCUACCAUAAUCGCUGCUGUCAGUGGGAAUAUGCUGGGGCACGUUCGCCGAUUUGACAUGGAUUUCUUAUUGGAAAAAUAAAUAUGUUGACAGGAAUCUGAGUUUGAUUUUAAUUUCACUAAAAAGGCAAAAGAGAGUCAUACCUGGUCAUAGCCUGGUACAUCGCAAGCAUAAUAAUCCAAAGUGAAUCGAGAAAUCAAUAGUUUCCACAAAUAUCUUCAUCAUUCCAAUGCCUAUGGACAUAAACAUCCAUAAGCAGAAUUAAAUUUCAAAUCAAUUUCUUCCAGUCUUUUUUAUACUGCAAAAUUUUACACCAAUUAAUGCCUAUUCCUUUAAUACUUAUGUUGUGUCAAGCCUUAUUUUUUCUUAUUUUUGAAAAAAAAUCUUUCUUUUAAACGACAUUCUAAAAUUGUUCAUGCAUGCUUCUGAUUUUUUGUUCUGUUUUACAAUAAUAUUAAAAUUGAUUAUUUUUCUGAAAACUGAAAAGCGUCUGGAAAAAAAAAUUAAUAUUCCAUGCCUUAUUAUCAUAAUUUUAAAACAAAAAUACUUUAAGCAAGACAGCAAUUACGAUACAACAAAAAAAAAAAAAAAUGAAAAUAUCAAUGAAUUUAUAACAACUUAAAUGUAUUUUAUCGAUUUAGUUUCUGAACUAAACUGUGUCUUGUUUGAUUAAAAAUGGAAAAAUAUAAUGUUAAAAUAAAUAGCUCAAUAAAGUUUGUAAAUCGAGUCGUACAUUAUUAUGAUGAGUGCUGAAAAAAUCUUCUUUUUGCAACUUGUUUCAUUAUUUUACACUAUUUGAGUUGCUUUUCUGUUUGGAAUUUUGGUGAAAAUAUCAUAUUAUUGAAUGUACUUGGCUGAAAUUUUUCGAACAAUCAGUUUUUUAAUGAAAAAAAAAUAAAAAAAAAUAAAAGCGUUUGCGAACUAUAUGGAGUAAUAUUUUAAUGUUUAUUUUUUUCAUUUUUAAUCCAAUAAGACACAGCUAUGUUUAAAAAUAAUUAAUAAUAAAACAAUUAAAUCUAUGCCACAGAUCGCCAAAACACUUCAAACUUGUUAUAAAUUCAUUGUAUUUUGCAUCUUUUGCCGGUAGCCUAAUUGUUGUCAUGGUUUAAGCAUUUUUGCUUCAAAAUUAUGAAAAUAAAACAUGGAAUAUUAUUGUUUCUUGGUUUACCUUCUUGGAAACUAUUUUUUAAAAUUAAAACUAUAUUUCUACGGGAAAUUCUAUACAAGAUUAGCUAUUAGUUUUUGCGGCAUAUUUUUGGAAUGGAGAAAUUCGUUUUAAUUCCAGGCAAAAAUACGUCUAGAUUUUUUUAAACGGUCCCAUAAACAUUUUUUUUUUAUUUUUGGGAGUUUUUGAAUACCUCUAAUUCAAGGCGAUUUUGAAAAAAUCCAAAAAGCAAAACAAUAAAAAUAAAAUUUUGUUUAUAGGAAAGUUAAAAAAAAUGUAGACAUUUUUUGAACAUCAACAUGAUAUUAAUUAAAAAUGACAACCUCCUGAA